GCAGCUUCCUCGACGAGACACCAGCAGGGAGAGUGGAAAGCUUUGGGGGAGACCUGCAGAGACACAACGGCAGCGGCAGACACGGAGAGCAGAGCAUCUCUGUCGAUCAGUUCUUUUCCAGCGUCUACCUCCUCCGGCUCAGUCAGCGAACUGUCAUGGCAGGUCACUCCAGGGUGUAGCAGCGCUCCUCCCUCAGCUGCAGACGGGGAACCCUGCUGCUCUCAGGAGAGGGAAGAUCAGCAGUCAUCAUUCAGAGCUCAGAUCUCCAAAAUUGAACAGUUCCUCAACACAGAGAGACUCCGUCUGCCCAAAAGACGAAGGAUUGACGAUUAAAACCACCAAACUUAUCGCUGUAUUUAAGGGGACCCGGCUUCGCAGCUCUGAGAUUGACAGUUUGAAAAAGUUUAGAUGUUCUGUCACUUUAACUAUGCGGGUGGAUUACUCGUUCCUUUCAACUGUAGGGUUGGAUCUUACUUCACAGAUUAUAUGUUUUAUUUGCAAAGUUAUUUGCCAGUUGCCUGUUGACAUUACUGUGACAAAUUAAUGCUUUUUAUUCGAGUGGACGGAUGCUCUGUUCAUUUGUUGUUGCUGUGUAUUUGUAGGUAAGCAGGAGA